AGCCGCGGUAAUACGGAGGAUGCGAGCGUUAUCCGGAUUUAUUGGGUUUAAAGGGAGCGCAGGCUGCGAGGCAAGUCAGCGGUCAAAUGUCGGGGCUCAACCCCGGCCUGCCGUUGAAACUGUCCUGCUAGAGUUCGAGUGAGGUAUGCGGAAUGCGUUGUGUAGCGGUGAAAUGCAUAGAUAUGACGCAGAACUCCGAUUGCGAAGGCAGCAUACCAACUCGCGACUGACGCUGAGGCUCGAAAGCGUGGGUAUCGAACAGGAUUAGAUACCCUGGUAGUCCACGCAGUAAACGAUGAAUACUAACUGUUCGGAGGGCGACCUCUGAGUGGUAAAGCGAAAGCGUUAAGUAUUCCACCUGGGGAGUACGCCGGCAACGGUGAAACUCAAAGGAAUUGACGGGGGCCCGCACAAGCGGAGGAACAUGUGGUUUAAUUCGAUGAUACGCGAGGAACCUUACCCGGGCUCAAACGGGAGCGGACGUGCGGAGAAAUCCGCAUUUCUUCGGACCGCUUCCGAGGUGCUGCAUGGUUGUCGUCAGCUCGUGCCGUGAGGUGUCGGCUUAAGUGCCAUAACGAGCGCAACCCCUGCGGACAGUUGCCAUCAGGUAGAGCUGGGCACUCUGUCCGGACUGCCGGCGCAAGCCGUGAGGAAGGCGGGGAUGACGUCAAAUCAGCACGGCCCUUACGUCCGGGGCGACACACGUGUUACAAUGGGCGGCACAGCGGGAAGCCAGGUGGUGACACCGAGCAGAACCCGAAAGCCGUUCUCAGUUCGGAUCGGAGUCUGCAACCCGACUCCGUGAAGCUGGAUUCGCUAGUAAUCGCGCAUCAGCCAUGGCGCGGUGAAUACGUUCCCGGGCCUUGUACACACCGCCCGUCAAGCCAUGGAAGCCGGGGGCGCUUGAAGUGCGUUGCCGCAAGGCGCGCCCUAGAGCGAAACCGGUGACUGGGGCUAAGUCGUAACAAGGUAGCCGUACCGGAAGGUGCGGCUG
rnacentral:rRNA from 1 species